rnacentral:tRNA from 1 species
AUUUAAGUAGUUUAAUAAAAAUGUUGAUUUGUGGUGUCGAUGAUGUAAAUAAUUACCUUAAAUC